rnacentral:rRNA from 1 species
GACGAACGCUGGCGGCGUGCUUAACACAUGCAAGUCGAACGGAAAGGCCCUGCUUGCAGGGUACUCGAGUGGCGAACGGGUGAGUAACACGUGGGUGAUCUGCCCUUCACUUCGGGAUAAGCUUGGGAAACUGGGUCUAAUACCGGAUAGGAACCAUCUUUAGUGUGGUGGUUGGAAAGUUUUUUCGGUGUAGGAUGAGCUCGCGGCCUAUCAGCUUGUUGGUGGGGUAAUGGCCUACCAAGGCGGCGACGGGUAGCCGGCCUGAGAGGGUGUACGGCCACAUUGGGACUGAGAUACGGCCCAGACUCCUACGGGAGGCAGCAGUGGGGAAUAUUGCACAAUGGGCGCAAGCCUGAUGCAGCGACGCCGCGUGGGGGAUGAAGGCCUUCGGGUUGUAAACUCCUUUCGCUAGGGACGAAGCUUUGUUGUGACGGUACCUAGAUAAGAAGCACCGGCUAACUACGUG